AACGAACGCUGGCGGCAUGCCUAACACAUGCAAGUCGAACGAGACCUUCGGGUCUAGUUGCGCACGGGUGCGUGCCGCCGGGGAACCUGCCCUUAGGUUCGGAAUAACUCCCCGAAGGAGGUGCUAAUACCAGAUAAUGUCUUCGGACCAAGGAUUUAUCGCCCUUGGAUGGGCCCGCGUUGGUUUAGCUAGUUGGUAGGGUAAAAGCCUAACAAGGCGACGAUCCAUAGCUGGUCUGAGAGGAUGAUCAGCCACACUGGGAAUGAGACACGGCCCAGACUCCUACGGGAGGCAGCAGUGGGGAAUAUUGGUCAAUGGGCGAAAGCCUGAUCCAGCAAUGCCGCGUGAGUGAUGAAGGCCUUAGGGUUGUAAAGCUCUUUUACCCGGGAUGAUAAUGAUAGUACCGGGAGAAUAAGCUCCGGCUAACUCCGUG
rnacentral:rRNA from 1 species